rnacentral:rRNA from 1 species
CCGGCGAACGGAAGCCUGACCGUUCUAAAAACCGACACAGGUAGGCUAGUUGAGAAGACUAAGGGGAGCGGGAGAACCUCCGCUAAGGAACUAGGCAAAAUGGCCCCGUAACUUCGGGAGAAGGGGCGCUCCUGCGGGUUAAGAGCUAGCGGGAGCUGCAAAGACCAGGCUCUGGCGACUGUUUACCAAAAACACAGGACUCUGCGAACACGAUGAGUGGACGUAUAGGGUCUGACGCCUGCCCAGUGCUGGAAGGUUAAGGGGAGUGGUCAGCGCGAGCGAAGCUACGAACCGAAGCCCCAGUAAACGGCGGCCGUAACUAUAACGGUCCUAAGGUAGCGAAAUUCCUUGUCGGGCAAGUUCCGACCUGCAUGAAUGGCGUAACGAUCGGAGCACUGUCUCAGCGGAGGGCCCGGUGAAAUUCCAAUCUUGGUGAAGAUGCCAAGUUACCCGCGAUUAGACGGCAAGACCCCAUGAAGCUUUACUGUAUCCUAAUAUGGUAUAGUGGUGGAGGGCGUACAGGAUAGGUGGGAGGCAGCGAACGCAGCGCGUCAGCGCUGCGGGAGCCGACGGUGGGAUACCACCCUCCUUCCAGCGUUAUACUAACCGAGGUAGGUGGAGAGCCUAUCAGGGACAGUGUUAGGGGGGCAGUUUGACUGGGGCGGUCGCCUCCAAAAAGGUAACGGAGGCGCGCGAAGGUGGGCUCAGGCUGGUUGGGAAUCAGCUGGCGAGUGCAAGGGCAAAAGCCCGCCUGACAGUGAGAGAGACAUCUCGAGCUGAGACGAAAGUCGGUCCUAAUGACCAGGUGGUGCUGUGUGGAAAGGCCAUCGCUCAACGGACAAAAGCUACUCUGGGGAUAACAGGCUGAUACCGUCCGAGAGUCCAUAUCGACGACGGUGUUUGGCACCUCGAUGUCGGCUCAUCGCAUCCUGGGGCUGUAGUCGGUCCCAAGGGUUGGGCUGUCCGCCCAUUAAAGCGGUACGUGAGCUGGGUUCAGAACGUCGUAAGACAGUUCGGUCCCUAUCUGUCGCGGGCGCAGGAUACUUGAGAAGGCUUCUCCCCAGUACGAGAGGACCGGGAGGAGUGGACCGCUGGUGAACCAGUUGUACUACCAAGCGCAUAAGCUGGGUAUCUAAGUCCAUGAGUGAUAAGCGCUGAAAGCAUCUAAGCGCGAAACAUGCUUCAAGAUGAGGUAUCCCAUCGAAAGAGUAAGGGCCGUUCGAGAACAGGACGUAGAUAGGCCGCAGGUGGAAGCGGUGCGAGCCGUGCAGCCGAGCGGUACUAGUCGCCCGAGGCCUUGAAC